rnacentral:rRNA from 1 species
AACCUGCGGAAGGAUCAUUAACUGUAAUGUCUGUCAAGCUAGCCUUGACAUGACUGAAUCCGUGACUUUGUUGUACCAGUAGUUUCCUCGGCGGGCUUGCUCGCCAAUGGGGACCAACUUCAACCUUUGUUGUAGCCGUACUGUCUGAAAACAUUAAAAUCUUUAAAACUUUCAACAACGGAUCUCUUGGUUCUGGCAUCGAUGAAGAACGCAGCGAAAUGCGAUAAGUAGUGUGAAUUGCAGAAUUCCGUGAAUCAUCGAAUCUUUGAACGCACAUUGCGCCCUUUGGUAUUCCUUAGGGCAUGCCUGUUCGAGCGUCAUUGAAACCCUCAAGCUCUGCUUGGUGUUGGGUGUCUGUCCUGCCCCUGGCAUGGACUCACCUUAAAGACAUUGGCGGUUGUGUAUUGACCGGAAGCGCAGCAAAGACGCGCCACUCCUGGUUCGAUACCUCUCUCCAGGAAGCCAUACUUCUAGCUUGACCUCGGAUCAGGUAGGGAUACCCGCUGAACUUAAGCAUAUCAAUA